GAUGAAGAACGUAGCGAAAUGCGAUAAGUAAUGUGAAUUGCAGAAUUCAGUGAAUCUUCGAAUCUUUGAACGCACAUUGCGCCCUCUGGUAUUCCGGGGGGCAUGCCUGUUCGAGCGUCAUUAUAACCACUCAAGCUCUCGCUUGGUAUUGGGGUUCGCGGUUUCGCGGCCCCUAAAAUCAGUGGCGGUGCCUGUCGGCUCUACGCGUAGUAAUACUUCUCGCGAUUGAGUUCGAUAGGUCUACUUGCCAGUAACCCCCAAUUUUUACAGGUUGACCUCGGAUCAGGUAGGGAUACCCGCUGAACUUAAGCAUAUCAAUAAGCGGAGGA
rnacentral:misc_RNA from 1 species